rnacentral:rRNA from 1 species
GACGAACGCUGGCGGCGUGCUUAACACAUGCAAGUCGAACGGAAAGGCACUGAUUUCGUGGGGUGCCCGGGUGGCGGACGGGGGAGUAUCACGUGAGUAACCUGACCUUGUUUUUGGGGUAACUUAAGGAAACUGGGGCUAAUCCCGGAUAGGAGAUCCUGCUGCGUGGUGGGGGUUGGAACGUUUCGGCGGUUGGGGAUGGACUGGCGGCUUAUGAGCUUGCUGGUGGGGUAGUGGCUUACCCAGGCAUUGACCGGUAGCCGGCCUGAGAGGGUGACCGGCGACAUUGGGACUGAGAUACGGCCCAGACUCCUACGGGAGGCAGCAGUGGGGAAUAUGGCACAAUGGGCGGAAGCCUGAUGCAGCGACGUCGCGGGCGUGAUGACGUCCUUCGGGGUGUAAACCGCUUUCGCCUGUGACGAAGCGUGAGUGACGGUAAUGAGUAAAGAAGCACCGGCUAACUACGUG